rnacentral:rRNA from 1 species
UUGUUUUUCAAAACAUGGUCUUUUGUUUAUAUAAAAGAUCUGGCCUGCCCUAUGAUUUAUAUUAAAUGGCUGCAGUAUUUUGACUGUACAAAGGUAGCAUAAUCAUUUGUCUUUUAAUUGAAGGCUGGAAUGAAUGGUUGGAUGAAAAAUAUACUUUCUUUAUUUUAUAAAAAGAACUUGAUUUUUUAGUUAAAAAGCUAAAAUUGUUUUAUAGGACGAGAAGACCCUAUAGAACUUUACUAUUUAUAAUAAAUAAUUAUUAUAUUUUAUUAAAAGAUUUUUUAUUAAAAAUAGUUGUGUUGGGGUGACAAAAAAAAUAUUAUAACUUUUUUUAUUUAUGUCAUUUAUAUAUGUAUUUUUGAUCCUUUUUUAUGGAUUAUAAGAUAAAGUUACCUUAGGGAUAACAGCGUUAUUUUUUUGGAGAGUUCAUAUCGAUAAAAAAGUUUGCGACCUCGAUGUUGGAUUAAAAUUAAUUAUAGGAGUAUAAUAUUAUAAAUUAGGUCUGUUCGACCUUUAAAUUUUUACAUGAUCGGU